rnacentral:rRNA from 1 species
UACGUAGGGUGCGAGCGUUACUCGGAAUUACUUGGCGUAAAGUGUGCGCAGGCGGCCGCGCAAGUCGAGUGUGAAAGCCCCGGGCUUAACUUGGGAAUUGCGCCCGAAACUACGUGGCUAGAGUGUGGCAGAGGGAGGUGGAAUUCCACGUGUAGCGGUGAAAUGCGUAGAGAUGUGGAGGAACACCGAUGGCGAAGGCAGCCUCCUGGGCCAACACUGACGCUCAUGCACGAAAGCGUGGGGAGCAAACAGG